rnacentral:rRNA from 1 species
NNNNNNNAGAGUUUGAUNNUGGCUCAGAACGAACGCUGGCGGCAUGCUUAACACAUGCAAGUCAAACGGGAGGCAGCAAUGUCUCCAGUGGCAAACGGGUGAGUAACGCGUGGGAAUCUGCCUUUUGGAGGGGGACAACCGAGGGAAACCUUGGCUAAUACCGCAUAUACUUAGAAAUAAGGAAAGAUUUAUCGCCAGAAGAUGAGCCCGCGUCAGAUUAGGUAGUUGGUGGGGUAAAGGCCUACCAAGCCUACGAUCUGUAGCUGGUCUGAGAGGAUGAUCAGCCACACUGGGAUUGAGAUACGGCCCAGACUCCUACGGGAGGCAGCAGUGAGGAAUAUUGGACAAUGGGGGAAACCCUGAUCCAGCAAUGCCGCGUGAAUGAAGAAGGCCUUCGGGUCGUAAAAUUCUUUUACUCGUGAAGAUGAUGACGGUAACGAGAGAAAAAGCCCCGGCUAACUCUGUGCCAGCAGCCGCGGUAAUACAGAGGGGGCUAGCGUUGUUCGGAAUAACUGGGCGUAAAGGGUGCGUAGGUGGUUUUUUAAGUGAGAUGUUAAAUACUCGGGCUUAACCUGGGGAGUGCGUUUCAAACUGGAAGACUAGAGUACGGUAGAGGAAAGUGGAAUUCCUAGUGUAGAGGUGAAAUUCGUAGAUAUUAGGAGGAACAUCAGAGGCGAAAGCGGCUUUCUGGUCCGUAACUGACACUGAGGCACGAAAGCGUGGGGAGCAAACAGGAUUAGAUACCCUGGUAGUCCACGCCCUAAACGAUGAGUGCUAGACGUCAGCUUUAUAAGUUGGUGUCGCAGCUAACGCAUUAAGCACUCCGCCUGAGGACUACGAUCGCAAGAUUAAAACUUAAAGGAAUUGACGGGGGCCCGCACAAGCGGUGGAGCAUGUGGUUUAAUUCGUCAACACGCGAAGAACCUUACCAGCCCUUGACAUGGGAGUCAACGAUCUUAGAGAUAAGAUUUUCGGUUCGGCCGGACUCCACACAGGUGCUGCAUGGCUGUCGUCAGCUCGUGUCGUGAGAUAUUGGGUUAAGUCCCGCAACGAGCGCAACCCUUGUCCUUAUUUGCUAACAGGUCAUGCUGAGGACUAUAAGGAGACUGCCGGUGAUAAAUCGGAGGAAGGAGAGGAUGACGUCAGGUCCUCAUGGCCCUUAUGGGCUGGGCUACACACGUGCUACAAUGGUGACGACAAAGGGAAGCGACGGGGAGACCCUGAGCGAAUCCUAAAACGUCAUCUCAGUUCGGAUUGUUCUCUGCAACUCGAGAACAUGAAGUUGGAAUCGCUAGUAAUCGUGGAUCAGCACGCCACGGUGAAUACGUUCACGGGCCUUGUACACACCGCCCGUCAAGCCAUGGGAGUUGAUCUUACCUGAAACCAGUGAGCUAACCGCAAGGAGGCAGCUGACUAUGGUGGGGUUGAUGACUGGGGUUAAGUCGUAACAAGGUAGCCGUAGGGGAACCUGCGGCUGGAUCACCUCCUUNNN